GGGAAUACGCUCCUCUCUCGCCCCCACCUUCGCCCAGCCACCAUCUGUCGCUCCUGGGGGUCCAGGACCUUCUUAUGGAACCUCUCGUUCCCCCGAGUCCCCUGCCCCCGUAACCCGUUCCCAUCCCCAGCCAGAGGAUCCAGGUGGCGCUUCCCCCUCAGUCCCUCCCCUGGCUGCAUUACUCCCCGAGGGCAGAUACUUAAGAUUGUUGCUUGAGUGGACAGAGCUGUGGCUGGCGCCAGGAGCAGGCUGGACCUCCUAACGGCCCACUCUGGUGCUUUGGGGCGUAUGCAGAUGUGAAAUUCCAGAAGCGGAGUUGCUGGGAACCACCAUCCUGUCCACAGCUGCUGCCUCGUUGCACAGUGCCACCCGCGCGUGAGGGUUCCAGUCUCGCCACAUCCUUGCCAACACUUGUUAUUUUCUGGGUUUCGUUUUUGGUUUUGAUAAUAACCACCGUGAUGGGUGCAUGGUGUUGGGGCACAAGAUUUUGACCUCAGGGACCGCUGUCAAAUACACACCCUGUGCGCCCCCACCUUGUCAGGAAUCCUACCCUGGGCCCUCACCUGCUCCUCAGAGAACCUGGCCCACGCCGGUGCCCUGGGAUCGUCCCUCGAGGGGCUGGUCCAGAGGCCCUAUGUGCUGGCACGUGACCUCAGGAGGGAGGGACGGGGCUGUCCACUCGUCCUCUUCGGCGGGGCCCUCCUCACACCUCCUCCCAGGCCGGCUGGCUCAUUCCCCAAGCAGACACCCCCCUUUGGCCAAUCUCCGCAAGUGGAAAAAGAGAAUUUAAACCAGAGGUGUCAUAUGAGGAACCUUUAGAAUAGACUUUCUAUGGCAGAGUGCCCCCCCUAGGCACUGGUGACAUCAGGCAGGUCACACUGUGGGAGGCCGUCGUGAGCACUGUGGGGUGAUGAGCAGCAUCCCUGGCCUCACCCACUCGAUGGCAGGAGCGCCCCCAGUGUGACACCCACAGAUGUCCUCAGGGACUGCCAAGGACCCUGCAAGCUAAAACGAGGCUAAGGAGGCACUUUCCCAGGGCACAAAUUUAGAGGGUGCCAAAUACCUCAGUCAUUAGAAGGAAUGGUGUCUAAUGUAAUAUUGUAACAAUUCAAAAUGAAUGCAAAAAACUUGUGAACAAAAUGUCAGAAUUCUAAGUAAAUACAGGAUUGAACAGUGCUGUACGAGGCCACUUCGGAGACCAAGACAAAGUGAGAAAUGUGCCCUUUAUAUAUGUUUUUACGUUCUUUAAAUGGUUAACUUUUACCCCCGAUCAUUAAAGUGGUUGAAAAAGUA